rnacentral:tRNA from 1 species
GGGGUUGUGGCUCAGUGGUAGAGUGCUCGCCUAGCAUGUGUGGCGCACUGAGUUUGAUCCUCAGCACCACA